rnacentral:sRNA from 1 species
AGCAGCCGCGGUAAUUCCAGCUCCAAUAGCGUGUAUUAAAGUUGUUGCAGUUAAAAAGCUCGUAGUUGAAUUUCGAGAUCGGCUUACUGGUCGUGCUUUUGUACGUACUGGUAAAUCGGUUUCUCCUUUCUGACGAACUUUAAUGCCAUUAAUUUGGUGUUUUAGGGAAUCAGGACUGUUACUUUGAAAAAAUUAGAGUGUUUAAAGCAGGCUCACGCUUGAAUACAUUAGCAUGGAAUAACGGAAUAGGACGUUUGAUUUUAUUUUGUUGGUUUCUAGGAUCGACGUAAUGAUUAAUAGGGAUAGUUGGGGGCAUUAGUAUUCAAUUGUCGGAGGUGAAAUUCUUGGAUUUAUUGAAGACUAACUACUGCGAAAGCAUUUGCCAAGGAUGUUUUCAUUAAUCAAGAACGAAAGUUAGGGGAUCGAAGACGAUCAGAUACCGUCGUAGUCUUAACCAUAAACUAUGCCGACUAGGGAUCGGAUGAUGUUAAUUUUUAAUGACCCAUUCGGCGCCUUACGG